GACGAACCGUGCGAACGUUGUUCGGAAUCACUGGGCUUAAAGGGCGCGUAGGCGGGCGGUCAAGUCAGAGGUGAAAUCCCACGGCUCAACCGUGGAAGUGCCCCUGAUACUGAUCGCCUCGAGGGAGGUAGGGGCGUGCGGAACUUCCGGUGGAGCGGUGAAAUGCGUAGAUAUCGGAAGGAACACCGAUGGCGAAAGCAGCGCGCUGGACCUUUACUGACGCUCAUGCACGAAAGCGUGGGGAGCAAACAGG
rnacentral:rRNA from 1 species